GACGAACGCUGGCGGCGUGCUUAACACAUGCAAGUCGAACGGAAAGGCCCUGCUUUUGUGGGGUGCUCGAGUGGCGAACGGGUGAGUAACACGUGAGUAACCUGCCCUUGACUUUGGGAUAACUUCAGGAAACUGGGGCUAAUACCGGAUAGGAGCUCCUGCUGCAUGGUGGGGGUUGGAAAGUUUCGGCGGUUGGGGAUGGACUCGCGGCUUAUCAGCUUGUUGGUGGGGUAGUGGCUUACCAAGGCUUUGACGGGUAGCCGGCCUGAGAGGGUGACCGGCCACAUUGGGACUGAGAUACGGCCCAGACUCCUACGGGAGGCAGCAGUGGGGAAUACUGCACAAUGGGCGGAAGCCUGAUGCAGCAACGCCGCGUGCGGGAUGACGGCCUUCGGGUUGUAAACCGCUUUCGCCUGUGACGAAGCGUGAGUGACGGUAAUGGGUAAAGAAGCACCGGCUAACUACGUGCCAGCAGCCGCGGUGAUACGUAGGGUGCGAGCGUUGUCCGGAUUUAUUGGGCGUAAAGGGCUCGUAGGUGGUUGAUCGCGUCGGAAGUGCAAUCUUGGGGCUUAACCCUGAGCGUGCUUUCGAUACGGGUUGACUUGAGGAAGGUAGGGGAGAAUGGAAUUCCUGGUGGAGCGGUGGAAUGCGCAGAUAUCAGGAGGAACACCAGUGGCGAAGGCGGUUCUCUGGGCCUUUCCUGACGCUGAGGAGCGAAAGCGUGGGGAGCGAACAGGCUUAGAUACCCUGGUAGUCCACGCUGUAAACGGUGGGUACUAGGUGUGGGGUCCAUUCCACGGGUUCCGUGCCGUAGCUAACGCUUUAAGUACCCCGCCUGGGGAGUACGGCCGCAAGGCUAAAACUCAAAGGAAUUGACGGGGCCCCGCACAAGCGGCGGAGCAUGCGGAUUAAUUCGAUGCAACGCGUAGAACCUUACCUGGGUUUGACAUGGAUCGGGAGCGCUCAGAGAUGGGUGUGCCUCUUUUGGGGUCGGUUCACAGGUGGUGCAUGGCUGUCGUCAGCUCGUGUCGUGAGAUGUUGGGUUAAGUCCCGCAACGAGCGCAACUCAUGUUCACUGUUGCCAGCACGUUAUGGUGGGGACUCAGUGGAGACCGCCGGGGUCAACUCGGAGGAAGGUGGGGAUGACGUCAAGUCAUCAUGCCCCUUAUGUCCAGGGCUUCACGCAUGCUACAAUGGCUGGUACAGAGAGUGGCGAGCCUGUGAGGGUGAGCGAAUCUCGGAAAGCCGGUCUUAGUUCGGAUUGGGGUCUGCAACUCGACCUCAUGAAGUCGGAGUCGCUAGUAAUCGCAGAUCAGCAACGCUGCGGUGAAUACGUUCCCGGG
rnacentral:rRNA from 1 species